rnacentral:rRNA from 1 species
GACGAACGCUGGCGGCGUGCUUAACACAUGCAAGUCGAACGGAAAGGCCCUGCUUUUGUGGGGUGCUCGAGUGGCGAACGGGUGAGUAACACGUGAGUAACCUGCCCUUGACUUUGGGAUAACUUCAGGAAACUGGGGCUAAUACCGGAUAGGAGCUCCUGCUGCAUGGUGGGGGUUGGAAAGUUUCGGCGGUUGGGGAUGGACUCGCGGCUUAUCAGCUUGUUGGGUGGGUAGUGGCUUACCAAGGCUUUGACGGGUAGCCGGCCUGAGAGGGUGACCGGCGACCUUGGGCCUGCGAGACGGCGCAGACUCCUACGGUAGGCAGUAGGGGGGAAUCUUGCACAAUGGGCCGAAGUCUGAUGCAGAAACGCUGCGUGCGGGAUGCCGGCCUUCGGGUUGUAAACCGCUUUCGCCUGUGACGAAGCGUGAGUGACGGUAACGGGUAAAGAAGCACCGGCUAACUACGUG